GGAAACAACCCAGACCGCCAGCUAAGGUCCCAAAGUCAUGGUUAAGUGGGAAACGAUGUGGGAAGGCACAGACAGCCAGGAUGUUGGCUUAGAAGCAGCCAUCAUUUAAAGAAAGCGUAAUAGCUCACUGGUCGAGUCGGCCUGCGCGGAAGAUGUAACGGGGCUAAACCAUGCACCGAAGCUGCGGCAGCGACACUAUGUGUUGUUGGGUAGGGGAGCGUUCUGUAAGCCUGCGAAGGUGGCCUGUGAGGGUCGCUGGAGGUAUCAGAAGUGCGAAUGCUGACAUAAGUAACGAUAAAGCGGGUGAAAAGCCCGCUCGCCGGAAGACCAAGGGUUCCUGUCCAACGUUAAUCGGGGCAGGGUGAGUCGACCCCUAAGGCGAGGCCGAAAGGCGUAGUCGAUGGGAAACAGGUUAAUAUUCCUGUACUUGGUGUUACUGCGAAGGGGGGACGGAGAAGGCUAUGUUAGCCGGGCGACGGUUGUCCCGGUUUAAGCAUGUAGGCUGNUUAUCCAGGCAAAUCCGGAUAAUCAAGGCUGAGGUGUGAUGACGAGGCACUACGGUGCUGAAGUAACAAAUGCCCUGCUUCCAGGAAAAGCCUCUAAGCAUCAGGUAACAUCAAAUCGUACCCCAAACCGACACAGGUGGUCAGGUAGAGAAUACCAAGGCGCUUGAGAGAACUCGGGUGAAGGAACUAGGCAAAAUGGUGCCGUAACUUCGGGAGAAGGCACGCUGGUGUGUAGGUGAAGCCCCUGCGGGUGGAGCUGAGACCAGUCGAAGAUACCAGCUGGCUGCAACUGUUUAUUAAAAACACAGCACUGUGCAAACACGAAAGUGGACGUAUACGGUGUGACGCCUGCCCGGUGCCGGAAGGUUAAUUGAUGGGGUUAUCCGUAAGGAGAAGCUCUUGAUCGAAGCCCCGGUAAACGGCGGCCGUAACUAUAACGGUCCUAAGGUAGCGAAAUUCCUUGUCGGGUAAGUUCCGACCUGCACGAAUGGCGUAAUGAUGGCCAGGCUGUCUCCACCCGAGACUCAGUGAAAUUGAACUCGCUGUGAAGAUGCAGUGUACCCGCGGCAAGACGGAAAGACCCCGUGAACCUUUACUAUAGCUUGACACUGAACAUUGAGCCUUGAUGUGUAGGAUAGGUGGGAGGCUUUGAAGCGUGGACGCCAGUCUGCGUGGAGCCAACCUUGAAAUACCACCCUUUAAUGUUUGAUGUUCUAACGUUGGCCCCUGACCGGGGUUGCGGACAGUGUCUGGUGGGUAGUUUGACUGGGGCGGUCUCCUCCCAAAGCGUAACGGAGGAGCACGAAGGUUAGCUAAUCCUGGUCGGACAUCAGGAGGUUAGUGCAAUGGCAUAAGCUAGCUUGACUGCGAGCGUGACGGCGCGAGCAGGUGCGAAAGCAGGUCAUAGUGAUCCGGUGGUUCUGAAUGGAAGGGCCAUCGCUCAACGGAUAAAAGGUACUCCGGGGAUAACAGGCUGAUACCGCCCAAGAGUUCAUAUCGACGGCGGUGUUUGGCACCUCGAUGUCGGCUCAUCACAUCCUGGGGCUGAAGUAGGUCCCAAGGGUAUGGCUGUUCGCCAUUUAAAGUGGUACGCGAGCUGGGUUUAGAACGUCGUGAGACAGUUCGGUCCCUAUCUGCCGUGGGCGCUGGAGAAUUGAGGGGGGCUGCUCCUAGUACGAGAGGACCGGAGUGGACGCAUCACUGGUGUUCGGGUUGUCAUGCCAAUGGCACUGCCCGGUAGCUAAAUGCGGAAGAGAUAAGUGCUGAAAGCAUCUAAGCACGAAACUUGCCCCGAGAUGAGUUCUCCCUGAGACUUUAAGUCUCCUGAAGGAACGUUGAAGACGACGACGUUGAUAGGCCGGGUGUGUAAGCGCAGCGAUGCGUUGAGCUAACCGGUACUAAUGAACCGUGAGGCUUAACCUU
rnacentral:rRNA from 1 species